CCCUGAGAUAUUCUGGAGUGAACACCCUAUCCUGCACUGUCAUCACCUGCAGCUGGUUCCAGGCUCUAAGAAUGGAUUAGUCAGGGAUGGGCCUCCCCCCCUUUAUAAGCACAGUUUUCUAUUAAACAUUUGAGCUUUGAUCAGGAACCUUGACUUAGCUCCAUUUUUCUCUCAACCAUCUAGUUCUUUCUCUUUCAGCUCCAGUCUGCCUCCCAGGUCUACCCUGUUUCUUGUGAGCCGCAGGAUGGCUCCCAACAGUCUGGCACCUGGUCCAGGGGCCUGAGGAAUGGCAGAAAAAUGCUGGAGGAACACUGCUUGGUGUGGAGCUCCAUGGGAAGGAAAGAAUCAGAGAAAAAAAUCGGGGCAUGGUAAGCAACAGUUUCAGGAGACUCCGGGAUAUCCCAAGAAGAACACAACAGCAAUAUAGUACAUGGAGCAAGGAGAUAAAGUCUUCAUGAGCAGCUCGGAAUUCUAUAAGGGAUCUUUGAAGAGCUACACUGAAGGGCAGAGUACACAAAGUGUAACUGGGCCUCACCAAACUCAGAUGAAUUUUCAGGUACCUGAGAGAUGGAAAGUGAUACAUGACUGACUCUUACUCUUACCUCAUUGUCCUUCUCAAAUUGAAUUUACUUUAUAUAAAUGUAUUUCCUUCUUUUUAAAAUUUUUCUAAUAAAAUAUAGUACAAGUACCUUGUAAUCAGCUG
rnacentral:lncRNA from 1 species